rnacentral:ncRNA from 2 species
UAAUUUCUUCGGGGUAAGGUGAGAAAGUUUAAACUUUCAAUUCCUAACCGGCGGUUAUAGCCCGCGAGCCUUAUGGCAGGAACUGGUGAAAUUCCAGUGCCGACAGUAAAGUCUGGAUGAGAGAAGAAAAAA